GGCUGAUUGUCCAGGCAAAUCCGGAUAAUCAAGGCCGAGGUGUGAUGACGAGGCACUACGGUGCUGAAGUAACAAAUGCCCUGCUUCCAGGAAAAGCCUCUAAGCAUCAGGUAACAUUAAAUCGUACCCCAAACCGACACAGGUGGUCAGGUAGAGAAUACCAAGGCGCUUGAGAGAACUCGGGUGAAGGAACUAGGCAAAAUGGUGCCGUAACUUCGGGAGAAGGCACGCUGGUGUGUAGGUGA
rnacentral:rRNA from 1 species